rnacentral:tRNA from 1 species
GGGGCUGUAGCGCAGUUGGUAGCGCGCCUCGUUCGCAUCGAGGAGGUCAGGGGUUCGAUUCCCCUCAGCUCCACCA